rnacentral:rRNA from 1 species
UACGAAGGGGGCUAGCGUUGCUCGGAAUCACUGGGCGUAAAGCGCACGUAGGCGGACUCUUAAGUCGGUGGUGAAAUCCUGGAGCUCAACUCCAGAACUGCCUUCGAUACUGAGAGUCUCAGAGUCCGGGAGAGGUGAGUGGAACUCCGAGUGUAGAGGUGAAAUUCGUAGAUAUUCGGAAGAACACCAGUGGCGAAGGCGGCUCACUGGCCCGGUACUGACGCUGAGGUGCGAAAGCGUGGGGAGCAAACGGG